rnacentral:rRNA from 1 species
UGGGGAAUUUUGCACAAUGGGGGAAACCCUGAUGCAGCGACGCCGCGUGAUUUAGAAGGCCUUCGGGUUGUAAAAAUCUUUUCUAUGGGAAGAAAAUGACAGUACCAUAGGAAUAAGGACCGGCUAAUUACGUGCCAGCAGCCGCGGUAAUACGUAAGGUCCGAGCGUUGUCCGGAAUCAUUGGGCGUAAAGGGUACGUAGGCGGGUAAGCAAGUUAGAAGUGAAAUCCUAUAGCUCAACUAUAGUAAGCUUUUAAAACUGCUCAUCUUGAGGUAUGGAAGGGAAAGUGGGAUUCCUAGUGUAGCGGUGAAAUGCGCAGAUAUUAGGAGGAAUACCGGUGGCGAAGGCGACUUUCUGGCCAUAACCUGACGCUGAGGUACGAAAGCGUGGGUAGCUAACAGG